GACGAACGCUGGCGGCGUGCUUAACACAUGCAAGUCGAACGGAAAGGCCCUGCUUUUGUGGGGUGCUCGAGUGGCGAACGGGUGAGUAACACGUGAGUAACCUGCCCUUGACUUUGGGAUAACUUCAGGAAACUGGGGCUAAUACCGGAUAGGAGCUCCUGCUGCAUGGUGGGGGUUGGAAAGUUUCGGCGGUUGGGGAUGGACUCGCGGCUUAUCAGCUUGUUGGUGGGGUAGUGGCUUACCAAGGCUUUGACGGGUAGCCGGCCUGAGAGGGUGACCGGCCACAUUGGGACUGAGAUACGGCCCAGACUCCUACGGGAGGCAGCAGUGGGGAAUAUUGCACAAUGGGCGGAAGCCUGAUGCAGCGACGCCGCGUGCGGGAUGACGGCCUUCGGGUUGUAAACCGCUUUCGCCUGUGACGAAGCGAGAGUGACGGUAAUGGGUAAAGAAGCACCGGCUAACUACGUG
rnacentral:rRNA from 1 species